CCUCAACAACGUCAAAGCCUCUUCAGUCUUCACGCCGACGCUUCCCCCACCGUCGCGGCCUUGAACCGCUCGCUCCUCUCGCCGGACCUCGCCGUCGCCCCACCGCCGUCGCCGAAGCUCAAAUCAAAUUCUAAGCAUGGAUGAUUCCGAUCAAUUCGCCAAAUCUGAACAAGUGUGUAGUAGUUUCUUCAGAAAACCAGUGAAUAAGAUGAAUAUUAGGAAACGAACAAUUGAUCAUGGUGAAAAUGAUGAUGAUGAUGAAUCUCCAAAACCCUAUGCAUGUGCUGAACCAAUUGAAGAAGAAUCAGGGAAACAACCAGUUUUUCAGUUUGAGUCUUCAAAAGAGAUUCAACUUCAACAUGAUAGCAAAGCAACUGCAACCCUAGAGACUGAGACUGAAUUUUCGAAAGAUGCUCGAGCCGUACGCGAAAGGGCGCUUAAGCAAGCGGCGAAGAGGAGCAAUAGUCUGAAGGGGGAUGGAAAGUUGUUGUACAAGGGGAUGAAUGGUUAUAAAGACUACAAGGCUGGAUUCCGUAGAGAGCAAACGAUUGCGAGCGAGAAAGCUGGUGGGGCACAUGGUCCUCUCAGGGCUUCAGCUCAUAUUAGGGUUUCAGCGAGAUUUGAUUAUCAGCCUGACAUUUGUAAGGAUUACAAGGAAGCUGGUUAUUGCGGGUAUGGUGAUUCCUGCAAGUUUAUGCACGAUCGAGGGGACUAUAAGUUCGGGUGGCAGUUGGAGAAAGAAUGGGAUGAAGCUGAGAAAGCAAGGAAGAUGAGAUUGUUGGCUGCUGCAAGUGGUGAGGAUGCAGAUGAGGAGGGCGAUAAUGUGACGUCGGAUGAAGAUGAUGAUGAUUCAUUGCCGUUUGUGUGUUUCAUUUGUAAUAAGCCAUUUGUGGAUCCUGUUGUAACCAAGUGCAAGCACUACUUCUGUGAGCAUUGUGCAUUGAAGCAUCAUGCAAAGAAUAAAAAGUGUUUUGUCUGCAACCAGCCAACACUUGGCACUUUUAAUGUGGCUCAUGAGAUACACAAGAAGACGGCUGAGGAUAAUAAAUAAUCUCACUCAACAGGUUCCAUGAUCUCUCUGUGUUGAAGAGUGAUGCCAUAAACUAUGCAAAGAGUUGAAAACAUACGGAGGAUAAAACGGAGGGGUUAGGUCUUAUUCAUUUUGCUUAAUUUUCUUGACUAUUUGAUCCCAGAAUUGUUAAGUUCAAGAAGUCUAGGAAUGAGAAAAUACGUUUUCUCUUAUCUUAUUAAUAAUAAUCAAAGAGCCAUUAAAUAGGCUGAUACAUCACAGAAGGGAAAUAAACGUGCAGUGCUACAAAAUAGGAAAAUUGGUGCAACGUGCAAGUGCUACAACUGACUCUAAAGAUUAGGUAAAACAGAUAGUGACUCUAUCUAAAACAGAAAAAACAAACCAUAUAAACAACUGACAUCUAAAUUAUUUAUUUCAACAACCCCUUAAACUUAAUGUUUCAAACAUAAGUUUAAUGAAUCAAAGUCUAAAACACAUUCCCUUGCACGGUUGCUUCCAAUGUGCAUACUCCAAGCAAUACUCUAAGUUUUUGGAAUGCAGCUAAUUUAAGUGGUUUUGUGAACAAAUCAGCCACUUGAUCUUCACUUUUCCCCUUUGUCAGUUCACGCAAUACAAACUCUGCUUCAGUAGUUGAAAGUGUGACAAUAGGUUGCUUCCUUGAUGACCAUGAAACAGCUCCGGAACCAAACAUAAAGACAUAACUAUAUGUGCUUUUCCUAUCAUCUUGAUCUCCCGUAUAAUCACUAUCCGUGAAUCCAAUCAAAUCUGAUUUCUCUCCUUUCUUGUAAAAUAUCCCAUAUUCUUUUGUUCCUUGUAAGUACCGCAAAAUGCGCUUUGUUGCCAUGAGAUGCAUCCUUUUUGGAUUUUCCAUGAAUCUGCUAAUGAGGCUUACAGCAAGCAUAAUGUCUCGUCUUGUAGCAGUUAGGUACAUGAGGCUUCCAACAAGUUGCUUGUAAAGAAUAUCAUCAACUCCUUUUCCUUCAGUAUUCUUAACAAGCUUUAGACUUGUUUCUGCUGGUGUUCUCACCGGACUGCAUCUGUCCAUCUGAAAUCUCUUUAAAAUUUCUCUUGUGUACUUCUUUUGAGAGAUAAAAAUACCACUUGAGGAUUGCUCAACCUCAAUGCCAAGGAAAUAGUGCAUCAAACCAAGAUCAGACAUCUCAAAUUCAGACAUCAUGGAUUUCUUAAAUUCCUCAAUCAUCACUUCAUCAUUACUGGUAUAAAUUAAAUCAUCCACAUACAAGCAAACUAUAAGCAUCUUACCUCUUCCUUCAAAUCGCACGAAGAGUGUAUACUCAUAAGGACAUUUGUGAAAUCCAUUCUUCAAGAAAUAGGCUUCAAUGUGACUGUACCAAGCCCUUGGGGCUUGUUUUAACCCAUAUAAAGCCUUCUUUAACUUGUACACCUUUUCUUCUUGUCCAACUUUAACAUAACCUGGUGGUUGAUCAAGUCGUGCAACCGGAGCGAAGAGUGGUUGAUCAAGUGUUUUAGACUUUGGUUCAUUAAACUUAUGUUUGAAACAUUAAGUUUAACGAGGCUGUUGAAAUAAAUUAUUUAGAUGUCAGUUGUUUAUUUGGUUUGUUUUUUCUGUUUUAGAUAGAGUCACUAUCUGUUUUACCUAGUCUUUAGGAGUCAGUUGUAGCACUUGCACGUUGCACCAGUUUUCCUAUUUUGUAGCACUGCACGUUUAUUUCCCUUCUGUGAUGUAUCAGCCUAUUUAAUGACUCUUUGAUUAUGAUUAAUAAGAUAAGAGAAAAUGUAUUUUCUCAUUCCUAGACUUCUUGAACUUAACAGUGGUAUCAGAACCAAUGGUUAGAGCGAUCAUCGUGAAGGUUCCUUGUGUCGAAAGUCUUCCUAGCAAUGGUGGCUAGGCAGCGUGUCCUGUUGACGAAGAUCCAACGACGGUGCAAGUAUUUUGAGGGUUUCCGCUUGAUAUGGACUCAUUAGAGAGAUUGUUGGGAAUUCAAGUGUGAGUAAGAAGUCUCACAUUGGAAUAUUAGAUGAGUAUUGAGCACUUUAUAAGUGAGAGGACCCAUACACCUAAUACCUUAAGGUUUUGGGUGAAAGAUGUGGUGUCCAAUCUACUUUGGUGUGCUCAUGUAAGCCCAAUGUGAUGAUCCCCGGUUUAUCCUCUUGCGGCCCAACAAGAAUAUCUAAUAGAGUGAUAUUUGAUUACAUGUUAACAGCACACACUGGUUCUGUUUGUAAUCAGUUUGAUACUGAAUUAAUUUCCAGUUACAGAUUUUUCAUUUUUCUUAACCUGAGCAGGAAGUUAAGGUGGGAGAGACAACCAUAGGCUCAUUUCAUCAAGGAACUGGCAAGACUCACUCUGUAUGUAUUUGACACUGUUACUGCCAGACAUGGAGCAUUCAAACCUCUCUUCAAUCUAGGCCAUCUCAAAUGCAACUAACCGCUGAGUUAACGGUUGCUUUGACGACAAGAUUUCGAUACUAAGACGUGGGGAAUUAAGGGCAAGCAUUCAAAUUGAUAUGUGUGACAAUUUUGAUCUUAGUCCCGUGGAACUAAAAUCCUGGUCUGCCCCUGAAGCCGCCUCCAACCCACUUGGUUAACAAAUUAAGUCUGAACUUUACAAAAUUAAGUCUGAACUUUACAAUAUAGCAAUAAUAACAGCCCUUUGACA